UGGGGAAUUUGGACAAUGGGCGAAAGCCUGAUCCAGCAAUGCCGCGUGUGUGAAGAAGGCCUUCGGGUUGUAAAGCACUUUUGUCCGGAAAGAAAUCCUUGGCUCUAAUACAGUCGGGGGAUGACGGUACCGGAAGAAUAAGCACCGGCUAACUACGUGCCAGCAGCCGCGGUAAUACGUAGGGUGCAAGCGUUAAUCGGAAUUACUGGGCGUAAAGCGUGCGCAGGCGGUUUGCUAAGACCGAUGUGAAAUCCCCGGGCUCAACCUGGGAACUGCAUUGGUGACUGGCAGGCUAGAGUAUGGCAGAGGGGGGUAGAAUUCCACGUGUAGCAGUGAAAUGCGUAGAGAUGUGGAGGAAUACCGAUGGCGAAAGGCAGCCCCCUGGGCCAAUACUGACGCUCAUGCACGAAAGCGUGGGGAGCAAACAGGAUUAGAUACCCU
rnacentral:rRNA from 1 species